CUAAUGGCGCACCGCUCGGGGGUGCGCCAUUGCUAACCCUCCCCCCUAAAAUCCCAGUCCCCUUUCUAUCUGCCCCAAUCCAUCUCUCACCCGCCCACUACCCCGACCCGUACUGCGCCGCCGCGGCCCUCACGCCUCCGCCGCCGCCCCGCGCCUCCCAUCUCGCUUCUCAGUUCUCUCCCCACUCCCCAGAUCUGGCAACAUUGCUCCGGUAUAGAAGGACCCCUCCUCCCACGGUCGUCGGGCCCUCGUCCUCCACCCCAUAGCCACCGCGUCCGACCUCCACCGCGCCGCUACCUUCCUCCCUCAUCGGCAGAGCCCGCCCCCUAGUAGUCUUCCACACACCCAUGGACGACGACGACAGUGACGCGGCAGCCGCCUCCCUCCUGCGCGUCUCUUCUGGCGACGGUACCGCACCCAUCUACGACGCGUGCUGCACAAAAAGCGCGAUGGAGGCGGGCGGACCCAAGCUGGACGCGUGGGGUGGAUCCCCGUACACCCCAUUCUCUCGCCUCGGCGUGUCUCAUGGGGGAACUCGCGGCCCUCAACGGUGGCGAGCGAGGAGGCUCCCGCUGCAGCUCCGAGCACCUUCCCGACAUGCUGCGUGGCCUAGACGGCCAAGGUAAUCCCUUAUUCCUUCCCCAUCCUGCCAAGUACGUACAUAGCUUGCAGCAAUGUCAAGUGCUGCUGCUUCCUUGGGCAGACUAGCGCCGCCGAUCCGGAUGUUUGCCACAUACUUUUUUUUUCAGAGAGAGGAACGGACACUCGUAUCCGGAAUAGAUACCAUAGUAUGUUUUUUUGCAAGAGAUCCGUGGAACUCAAAUAAAACUCUAAGUAUAGGGAUGAAGUCAUCUAGGAAAUCGAUCUGAGGACUAUGGUGAAGUUACAAAAUAAAAAUCAAAUCACUUGCACAUAUCAAACUGACUUCUGAGCAGGAAUUUGGUUGCUCCAUAGAAGUUGCAGGUUUGCAAUUUGUUCUUUCUUGAGUUCCACGGAUGUAUAGCUCCCUGAGUUGUUUGGCUGUUUACAUGCAUGUUUAUGGGCUAUUUUGUGCAACUAAAUAAAUUCAUUUAUGGUUGUCAGAUACUCAUGUCCUUUAUUAGCUUGAUGAGGUACACCUUAUGUAGGACUGAAUUAAAAAUGUUACACUUCUCGGUGAAAACUUUAUCUAGCAUAUGCAAUGUUAUGUUCUAUGAGCAGUGUCAAGUUAGAAGAAUAAGUUAUGCAUCUGAAAACAAAUCUCUUCUUGUUUCAUAUUCAAAGAAAAUAAGUUAGUUGUUGAGUGUUUACUUCCCAAGUGACAACUGAGUAAUAAAAAAUGGCAAGCCAGAAUGUGCUAGCUAUUUGCCAAUUUGUCGUAACAUGGAUGUAAAGAGAUGGCAGCAGUUUAUGCACAUUUCUUGACUUGAACAGAUGACUAUCUAGAUUCAAUUGGGACCGCUAAGGUUGGCACCUUUCUCUCUCUUCCUUGGAGCUGCAUGAUUCCGUUCGAGUUGCUUAUCUCCACUUCCCCUGAUGCGAUUUCCCUCCUCACGUAGGUUAGGUAGGAGCACAAAGGUAGAUUGAAAAUUACCAGCAAGUCCAUCUCCUACUUCGACUGCAAUGUAAUGUUGAGUCUCACUUGCUUUCUUCCCUCUCUUUUCUCUUCUUAUCAGAGCAAAGAUGCAUUUCAGGCGAUGAACUCAACCAUUGCUCUGGGUUUGUGUGUGUGUGUGAGGGUGAGAGAGGGAGAAGUUGUUAGCUUUAAGUUGUCUUGUGAUUUCGUUUCCACUUGAAUCUGCUAUAUGACAUCUUCCAUGUUGUUUGUAUUACACCGUCGCGUCUCAUGUAACUUAUGAGGCUGGAGAUAUGUGCUUUCACUGCUUACUUGUGGAUCUGAAAGUUUUUCUUUGAUUAGAUGGUGUUGGUUGCAACAGAAUAGUAGAAUGCAUUGGCUAGCAGAUGUGAGGUUAUUCGGCUUUAAGUAUACAAUAAACGAAUGCAUUUACUUGACAGUGUUUGUAAUCUGCAUGAAAAGUUUAUCCUCUAAAGAAGCAAAUUGCGUCAUGUCCUGUGCAUACGCCCAAUUGUUUAUUAUAUGGAAGAAAAAUAUAAGAUGCCAAUCUGAUACACUCUUCCUAGUGUAAUAUUGUCAUUUCCUGCUUGUGGUAUUUACUUUGCAUUCACUGAACAGGCGUAUCUACUCUGUAUAACAAAGGUCCUGAUACAUAAUUUCAUUCACAAUUCUGUAUGGGAGGUUGGAUUGUCCUAUGCUUCGUUGACUCUUGAUUAUCUUAUCAUAACCGACUAGUAUUGAAGUUGAUGUUGUCGCAUUCGAUUGUUUUUGAAGAAUUCUGGGAAACAAAAAAUGUUUGAGAAUGCAUUGAACCUGCAUGUUGUAGAUGUGCUUACUAACGUUUCAUGACAUUGUCAGUCUUUUCAAGUUACUAAUAACAUGGUAUUCUGGAGUUGCUGAUAACAAUCAGCUUAGUUGUAAUUGUUGAUGGAAGUGGGUGUUGCUUUUAUGUUAUGCUCCCUCCGUCCCAAAUUAAUUGACUUACAUUCAUCUAGAUAUGGAUGUAUCUAACACUGAAACGUGGUUAGUCAUGUCCGUAUGUAGACAAAUCUGAGUCAACUAAUUCGGGAUGGAGGGAGUAUUGUUCAGUGAGCUUUUUAUAGAGGUACAAGCUGGUCUUUGUGUUCAGAGGCUUGAUAUGACUGUUAACUCUAUAUUGUUUGGCUGUGUAUAUUUGCAAAUGAAUAUUGAUGCUAAUCACAUAGACGAAAUAUGCAGGUCAUGGUCUUAAUCACGUGCGAUGGAUUAACAUAUUUCCUUCUUUUUGCUAUGAUUGCAAUGUGGCUGCUGAUGACUCACUGUCUUCGAAAUGCUUUUUAUUGAUCAAUAAAACUAUUAACAAGCCCUGUUAAAUAAUAACAAGCUCUGAUUAUCUGUUUUCAGUGAGAUUGCGAAGAACUUGCCACUUGCACCAGUAAAGCUCCAUUACACUAUGCCUGCUGAAGAUGCAAUUAAAAUCAAAGAAGGUGAAUCUGGGAGACAGCCUUGGAGAGACACCUUUGAAAGGUUCGUUUAUUAUUUCAAACUGCUUCGUUUUGUAGAUCAUGCCCCAAAAUAAAUAGGUCUCAACAUUAUUGCUGCUAGUAGUUGAUAGUCUAUCAAUUGGGUUGAGGCAGUUUAUGUUCAUUUUUCUGAUGUAUACUUCUAUUUCUCUGCAAGAUGUAUGAUACCCAUAUUAGCAAAUCUUAAGUGGUGAAGUCGAUUCAUGACCGUAAUGCUUGCAGUCUUGACCCCCCCCCCCUCCGGGUCACUGGUCAUGAUAAGCAUUUCAUAUUGUACAAACAAAAGUUUUGUUUUUCAUUGAGCUUUUUUGUGUCAAGCAAUAUGUGUAACUCCAUCUUAGCUUGCAGAAUACACAAGAACUGUUAGUUUUUAAUGCUUUUUUGUAUUUUUGUCCUAUUGUUGUAUCGACACAGUUUUAGUUCCUUUAGGUACACUUUACUUACCUUAAGCUCUCAACUAUUUGUUUGUUGUGUUGUUGGCUUAAUAAAACUGAUGUAACUCAGUUUCUUGUAUGUACCCAUGAGGACCGUCAUGGUAUCCACCCACACCCUCUUGUUGGCUUUCUAUGCGGUGCCUCAGCGUCCUAUAGAUGACCGAAAGCUUGCAGUAGCAUCAUCAUCAUCUCUGUCUCCUUCCUCACGAGCUUCAUGUCGUAGAUGAGGUCGCAACCGAGGUAUGCCCUCCUCUCCUCCCUUCUCCUUCCUAUCAAGUGCUUGUGUGAAAAGCAAUUUUAACCGAAAACCAAUCUCUGUUUGUUGUGAAGUGUAGUACAUAGUGUUAUUUUUCCUGCUCUUAAAUUUUACAGGUUGAGAAAUAUGUAGGUUAACAUCAUUUGGUUGAUAUUUUGCUUCUUGGUCUUUGUAGGAGUUUUAGUUUUGUAGUGUCUUUUAAUUUGAUAUGAUUUCUAUUCUUCAAAAAUAUAAAUCAUGAGAGUAAAACUAAAUCUUCUUGUUGCAGUUUCGCAGUGCUCUUUUAGUUUGAUAUGAUUUCUAUUCUUCAAAAAUUUAACUUUGGAUACUCAUGCGUGUGCUAUUGAACUUAUAGGUUUGCAUCACGGAUGCCGUCGACGGUGGGCAUACAUGCUGUGGCGGAAGCUCAUGGCAUAUUGUAGGUUGAACUCAUGCUUUUGUUUGUUAAUUCUUGUUGCAUAUGUACACAUGUUGUGAACCGUCCUUGAAUAUGUAUGUGUGUUUUUGUGAAACUAUGUUGGAUAUGUAUGCAUGUGUGGACUUUGAACUCAUCAUCGGUUUGUUAUUUUUGUGAACAUGUAAUAUAUUGGAUAUGUAUGCAUGACCAUUUCAUUUGUGAAUUCUUGUUGCAUAUGUACGCAUGCUUUUGUGAAACUAUAUUGUUGUUGUGAUCUAUUGGAUAUGUAAUAUAUUGUUGUUGUUGUUGUGAUCUGUUGGAUAUGUAAUAUAUUGUUGUGAUCUAUAUUGUUGUUGUCAUGAUAUAUUGGAUAUGUAAUAUAUUGUUGUUGCCAUUAUGUAUAAAUCGUGUGCCCGUUGGCACUCGACUUACAUGGGGACAUUCGGCUUAUAUGUAAGCCGAGUGUUUUCACUAUUGCUCUCGGCUUACCCCGG
rnacentral:lncRNA from 1 species